CUCUGUGUGUGUUUUACUGUGCAGAGACUGAUCCAGCUGAGGUCUACUCUGCAGUGAGAACAGAAGACGUCAGUUAUGGACCAAUCAUCAUCAGAGACAAGAGAAAAGAAAAAUCAAAGUCGAGAGAGAAUGAUCCAGCUGCUGUCUACUCAGGAGUGAGAACAGACGACAUCAGUUAUGGACAAACAGACCAAACAGGUCCACAGUUUCCACUAGAGCCAAAUGUCAUCUACUCCUCACUGAAGUAAUCCACCAGUCUAACCAGUGGAGUCCAGCUGCUGGUCUCUGACUGCUCCAUCCUUCCCUCUGAGGAGUUUCAUUGUAAACAG